GCAACCUUUGUAUAUUGGUGCGUGUUCUGCAAGAGCGAGAAGGGGGACCGAUUCAUUCUUGCCUUCAUGCCAUGUACUGCGCGGCCAUGGCGACGGCUUAAAUAUUGAUAGGGCUGGCGUCAUGAGCUUCAGAGACGAUCGAUAACGACUGCAAACGUGAUUCAAAGACCACGUGGUGAUUGUUGUCAGUGAGCAAGGAGUGGGGGCGCCUUUGUCCAUGGGCAGGUCAUGCGCCGGUGCCUCGUGGGGGAAGUGGCUGAUGUCACGAGAGAACGGCGAAAGUAAACACGAGAUUGUGAAUUUUGUGAAGGAGAUAUUAUCGGAAAUAUGUGUAACAGAGGACGAAUUACAUAUGAUACACUGAAGGUUCGAGUCAAAACACGCGAGGCCAAAAUUCGAGAGCUGAGCUGCCAGGCGGUCGACAGGUGAAACAGCACUUUCCAGCGAACGAAGGUCAAGGCAUCUGAGGUGUGCUUGACCUCCCGAACAUCCCCUGAGCGACACUCUGCCUCCUACACGGGAGAACAGGACCCUAUCCUACAAAGGAUUUAGUUACACAGUUGAGGAUGCCAACAGGAUCUGCGCUUUCACUCGCUGGGUCCGAAUAAUAUCGAAAGUGGCGCCCCCGAACACCCACGUGGCGCGGACGGCAGUAAACAAGAUAACAAAGGAGACGUUUCUGCCAGGUCCUCAGUCGCGGCCAUGAUAACAGGAGCACCAAUGCUCUCUGCAAAUGCUCUCUAUUAGCGACCAAUGGAGGCCAACUACGCCUCGUCCAAAAACACACAAAGAUGCAAAGACGCAGCAUCGAUGUGUGCGGCAAGAAGAUGGUGUGCGUGAAGCUAGGUUUGAGUAUGAUAUUGGUAUGCAUUUCAACUGUUUCUUGUGAU